rnacentral:rRNA from 1 species
AGAGUUUGAUCAUGGCUCAGAGUGAACGCUGGCGGCGUGCUUAACACAUGCAAGUCGAACGAGAACGGGUUAUAGCUUGCUAUAACUGUCAGCUAAGUGGCGCACGGGUGAGUAAUAUAUAGGUAAUGUGCCCUAGAGAAGAGGAUAACAUUUGGAAACGAAUGCUAAUACUCUAUAUGCCUUUAAGACAGAAGUCUGCAAGGGAAAUAUUUAUAGCUCUAGGAUCGGCCUGUACGGUAUCAGUUAGUUGGUGAGGUAAUGGCUCACCAAGACAAUGACGCCUAACUGGUUUGAGAGGAUGAUCAGUCACACUGGAACUGAGACACGGUCCAGACUCCUACGGGAGGCAGCAGUGGGGAAUAUUGCACAAUGGGGGAAACCCUGAUGCAGCAACGCCGCGUGGAGGAUGACACAUUUCGGUGCGUAAACUCCUUUUAUAUAGGAAGAUAAUGACGGUACUAUAUGAAUAAGCGCCGGCUAACUCCGUGCCAGCAGCCGCGGUAAU